AGAGUUUGAUCAUGGCUCAGAUUGAACGCUGGCGGCAGGCCUAACACAUGCAAGUCGAACGGUAACAGGAAGAAGCUUGCUUCUUUGCUGACGAGUGGCGGACGGGUGAGUAAUGUCUGGGAAACUGCCUGAUGGAGGGGGAUAACUACUGGAAACGGUAGCUAAUACCGCAUAACGUCGCAAGACCAAAGAGGGGGACCUUCGGGCCUCUUGCCAUCGGAUGUGCCCAGAUGGGAUUAGCUAGUAGGUGGGGUAACGGCUCACCUAGGCGACGAUCCCUAGCUGGUCUGAGAGGAUGACCAGCCACACUGGAACUGAGACACGGUCCAGACUCCUACGGGAGGCAGCAGUGGGGAAUAUUGCACAAUGGGCGCAAGCCUGAUGCAGCCAUGCCGCGUGUAUGAAGAAGGCCUUCGGGUUGUAAAGUACUUUCAGCGGGGAGGAAGGGAGUAAAGUUAAUACCUUUGCUCAUUGACGUUACCCGCAGAAGAAGCACCGGCUAACUCCGUGCCAGCAGCCGCGGUAAUACGGAGGGUGCAGGCGUUAAUCGGAAUUACUGGGCGUAAAGCGCACGCAGGCGGUUUGUUAAGUCAGAUGUGAAAUCCCCGGGCUCAACCUGGGAACUGCAUCUGAUACUGGCAAGCUUGAGUCUCGUAGAGGGGGGUAGAAUUCCAGGUGUAGCGGUGAAAUGCGUAGAGAUCUGGAGGAAUACCGGUGGCGAAGGCGGCCCCCUGGACGAAGACUGACGCUCAGGUGCGAAAGCGUGGGGAGCAAACAGGAUUAGAUACUCUGGUAGUCCACGCCGUAAACGAUGUCGACUUGGAGGUUGUGCCCUUGAGGCGUGGCUUCCGGAGCUAACGCGUUAAGUCGACCGCCUGGGGAGUACGGCCGCAAGGUUAAAACUCAAAUGAAUUGACGGGGGCCCGCACAAGCGGUGGAGCAUGUGGUUUAAUUCGAUGCAACGCGAAGAACCUUACCUGGUCUUGACAUCCACAGAACUUUCCAGAGAUGGAUUGGUGCCUUCGGGAACUGUGAGACAGGUGCUGCAUGGCUGUCGUCAGCUCGUGUUGUGAAAUGUUGGGUUAAGUCCCGCAACGAGCGCAACCCUUAUCUUUUGUUGCCAGCGGUCCGGCCGGGAACUCAAAGGAGACUGCCAGUGAUAAACUGGAGGAAGGUGGGGAUGACGUCAAGUCAUCAUGGCCCUUACGACCAGGGCUACACACGUGCUACAAUGGCGCAUACAAAGAGAAGCGACCUCGCGAGAGCAAGCGGACCUCAUAAAGUGCGUCGUAGUCCGGAUUGGAGUCUGCAACUCGACUCCAUGAAGUCGGAAUCGCUAGUAAUCGUGGAUCAGAAUGCCACGGUGAAUACGUUCCCGGGCCUUGUACACACCGCCCGUCACACCAUGGGAGUGGGUUGCAAAAGAAGUAGGUAGCUUAACCUUCGGGAGGGCGCUUACCACUUUGUGAUUCAUGACUGGGGUGAAGUCGGAACAAGGUAACCGUAGGGGAACCUGCGGUUG
rnacentral:rRNA from 1 species